CAACAAUCUGUCUACAAAAGGAAAUUUUUAGAAUGGAGACGAUAGUAAUAUGGUAUGUAAUGUGCUGUUUUGCUGCCUCUUUCAGCGCUGCUACUUUGAAACUCUACCCCAGAUUCUGGUUCUCAAUUUGAAGAGAUAUCAGUUUGAUGGUAACUGGUUUAGAAAGCUGAAUUAUGACGUGUCUGUGCCUUUUUCACUGACUGUGAAUUCAGAAGAGCAGCCUAACACACAGUAUGAGCUCUUUGCAAUUUGUCACCAUUCUGGAGGAAUUCACGGUGGCCAUUAUGUGGCUGAGAUAAAGUCAUUUGAAAACGACUGCUGGUACAACUUCAACGACACCACAGUGAGUGAGGUGCAAGAAGAAAGGACCUCAACAGGUGCCACGAACAGUUCCACUGCGUAUCUGUUAAUGUACCGCAUGGUGGCCUGUGAUGCUAAGCCAAGUAAGUGCCGAGUUCUUAUCAUUUACAAGUUGCUGUCAAAGACAAU
rnacentral:lncRNA from 1 species